rnacentral:lncRNA from 1 species
UUAUUCUUUAUAAAGUUUAUAGGGAUGCAUGAUGCAAGGUAAUUACUUGUGUACGAGAAAUGUCCCGUUUUCUUAAUAUUGUGCAUGAGAACCUCAUUCUCCUUUCUGCAAGUUGCAACUCUUGCUUUAGCUUGCCUGAUAAUGUAUAUUUAGCACAAUCAUAAUAUCCUCUCUCACGCAGCACAUCAAUGUUUCCCACUUAUCCUAAGAUUAGGAAAUUAACAUUGCAUGUUGACAUAUUUUGCAGAGAGCAGAUCGGUUUAGUGGAUUUAUUGUUUUCAAUUUUUCUGUUGCAUAGACAUAAGUUUCUGAAUUUACUAUAUGAGCAGGGAGACAUGAAUCACGGCCUCCUCUCACUUGGCAAGAAAGAAAAAGGAUAGCACUUGGUGCAGCAAGGGGUCUAGCUUAUUUACAUGAUAAAUGUGAAAUGAAAAUCAUUCAUUGCGAUGUCAAAGCUGCAAAUAUAUUGUUAGAUGAAAACUUUGAAGCAGUCGUUGCUGACUUGAAGUCAGCCAAGUUCAUGGACCACAGCAUGACUCAUAUUACCACAACCGUGACAGGAACAAUUGGUCAUAUGGCUCCCGAGUACCUCGCCAGUGGUAGGUGUUCGGAUAAAACUGAUGUUUUUGGUUAUGGAGCAUUUCUUCUUGAGCUCAUCACAGGGCACAGAACUGCCGAUCUUCUUGAUGUAGCCGAUGAGGAAGAUAGGCUGUGUGCUUAUUGGGUAAGAUCAACUUGCCUUUUAAGUUUUAUUCUAUGACUACCAAGUCAUUGCUAGUUGUAAGUCCCUAUUUUGCAGUUCUAGUUUGCCCAUCUCAUACAUCUAAUCUCAGGUAAAAAAGAAUUACAAAGAGCGAAGAUGGAAAUCGUUGGUUGACAAAGAUAGUGGUGGAGGUGAUUUCAUGGACGAAGUGGUGGUGAAUCAGCUGGUGAAAAUAGCUGUUCUCUGCACACAAUAUGAUCCGGACAGACGUCCGAGGAUGUCGCGUGUUGUGAGUAUAUUAAAAUUAAAAUAUGGUUGUGGUGUGGCUGAGUGGUCCGAUGAGCUGUUUGAAAAAGAGGUCAGAGAAGAAGAGUAUGAUGGAGAGUCGGUUAUCAGCCGUUCUCCUCGGAUAUCAGAAAAACUAUCUGAGCCAAGAUGAUCAUGCAGUAUUUCAAGAAUUAGAGAUUGGCAGAACUUGUUUCCAUCCAAAUCUAUAGUGCAUGUGAUUGGAUUUUGCGAGACUUCAGAAGAACGACCGCUUGUUUUCCGGUUGAUGGUCAAUGGAAGUGUCGAAUCAUGGUUAAGGGGUAAGCUUGACCGAAUGUUAUUCAAUUGCUCUUCUACAUAUGUAUAGGUAUCAUGAUUUUACUGUGAUCUCUUGAGAUAUAUUGCAUCUUCUACUUGCUAUUUUGUACCAAAAAGCUCAUCAGCUUUUACCAGAUUUUGGAGUUAGACACGACUUUAAAAUGUUUCAAUAAUGACACCACUCUUUGGAUUUGUAGCAACAUAGUCGACCUCACGUUUCAAUAGUGAGGCCAUUAUGAGUCAUAUCUAAACCUAAAAUUGGGUAAAAGUUCGUGAAUAUUGGGGCAAUUGUGUACGAGAAAUGUACCGUUUUCUUAAUAUUGUGCAUGAGAACCUCAUUUCUCCUUUUUGCAAGUUGCAACUCUUGCUUUAGCUUGCCUGAUAAUAUAUAUUUAGCACAAUUACUUAUCCAAUUAGGAGAUUUACACAACCUUCAUCUCCAUGUUUAUCAAAUUUUCCUCCCACACUAGUAUAAGGGACUCAAUUUCUACUAUAAAAAAAAGAGACACGCAUACAUAGCUUAAGGUAAAAACUUUAUUCCUUUUUACCAUCAAAGUCAGAAGGGUUUUUGGUGGCUAAUUGAUUCGACGUUGGAGUUAAAGGCAAAUAGUUAUUUAGGACUUUCAACCGUCAAGAUAAUCCAAAUCGAGUUUAAGGUGGGGAAUUAUAUGCUCGUUGUUAUAUCUAUGCAUGUUUAUAUGUGUUUUAAAUUCAUGUUUGAUUAUAUUUGCUCAAUUACAUGUCCAAAUACAUGUUCAGUUUAUCAUGUUCAAAUACAUGAUUAGAGAUUUAGUUACAUGUCCAUAUACAUGUUCAGUUUAUCAUGUCUGUUUGCCACUCAGAUUUCUGUAUAUGUGCAUGACAAUGUGAUGUAUUAACAUGUUUUAGAGUAUGUAGAUAUUUGCCUUGUUCCUCACUGAGUAUAUUUUCAACAUGCUCACCCCGUUUUCCUUUCAGUUUUGCAGUUUCUGGAGUCCAAGCAGUCCCGGGAGCCGAGAAUGACUAGUACGAAGAGUUUAUUUUCUUUGUUAUAUCUUUUUUAGUUCAAUGAAAUUUAUGAUAAAUUUAAAUUCAGACCACUUAGUUAGAUUUCCUAUGUUAUGGUUUUUUUUUUUUAGAAAUUGUUUCAAUUUAAAAUAUUUAUUUAAUGGACAUGGCAAUAGAUUUGUUUAAGUUUGUCAAAUUGGUUUUAAUUUGCUAAACUUUUAUAGUCAAGUUUGGUUAUUUAUUUAAUUUUAGUGUGUUAAAAAUUAGAGUGUAACAUAUCAUCUCUCACGCAGCACAUCAAUGUUUCCCACUUAUCCUAAGAUUAGGCAAUUAACAUCGCAUGUUGAGAUAUUUUGCAGAGAGCAGAUCGCUUUAGUGGAUUUAUUGUUUUCAAUUUUUUCUGUUGCAUAGACAUAAGUCUCACUUGGCAGAGAUGAAAAAGGAUAGCACUUGGUGCGGCAAGGGGUCUAGCUUAUUUGCAUGAAAAAUGUGGAAAGAAAAUCAUUCAUCGCGAUGUCAAAGCUGCAAAUAUAUUGUUAGAUGACAACUUUGAAGCAGUCGUUGCUGACUUCAAGUCAGCCACGUUCAUGGACCACAGCACGACUCAUAUUACCACAACCGUGGCGGGAACAAUUGGUCAUAUAGCUCCCGAGUACCUUGCCAGUGGUAGGUGUUCGGAUAAAACUGAUGUUUUUGGUUAUGGAGAAUUUCUUCUUGAGCUCAUCACAGGGCACAGAACUGUCGAACUUCUUGAAGUAGCCGAUGAGGAAGAUAGGAUGUGUGCUGAUUGGGUGAGAUCAACUUGCCUUUUAAGUUUUAUUCUAUGUCUACCUGAGAGUUUGCUAGUUGUAAGUCCUUUUGCAGUUCUAGUUUGCCCAUCUCAUACAUCUAAUCUCAGGUAAAAAAGAAUUACCAAAAGGGAAGAUGGAAAUCGAUGGUUGAGAAAGAUAGUGGUGGAGGUGAUUUCAUGGACGCAGUGGUGGUGAAGCAGCUGGUGAAAAUAGCUGUUCUCUGCACACAAUAUGAUCCGGACACACGUCCGAGGAUGUCGCGUGUUCGUGUUGUGAGUAUGCUAAAAUCUGGUUGUGGUGUUGCUGAGAGGUCCGAAGAGCUGUUCGAAAAUGAGGUCGGAGAAGAAGAGUAUGAUGGCAGCUGUUCUCCUCUGAUAUCAGAAGAACUAUCUGACCCAAGAUGAUCAUGCAAUAUUUCAAGAAUUCAUUGCAAGAAAGUUAACCAACUGUGACCUGAUUUUGUUUUGGGACACUUUAUAAGUUACUUCAAUAUAUAGUGACACUACUUUUCGAUUGUUAGCAAAAUAGGCAGGCUCUCAGGCAUGGUUGUUUUCAACGCCAGUGGGAAAUUUGAAGCGUGAAAGAAAAUGCCAAGUCAUAUGUUUCAAUCAUCGGAAAAUUUUGAACUUGCCUACAAAUUGAAAAAUUAUGUUAUUAUUGAAAUGAUUUUUAAAAUAAUUGUAAUUUAUCAUCGCAAAAUAUUACUGUCUUUAUCCGUUUUACACGAUUAUUUAGAAGUAAAUAUCUUAUUGUAUAUAAAAUUUCUUUAUCUAUUUAUUAGUGUAAAUAAGUGAUCCUGAUUUUUGCUGAAAAUUAACUAAGCGAAAUUCGAUCAGAUAGCUCGAAAAAAAAUGCAGACGGAUCGAAAGGAGUAAUUAUAUACCAAUGAUAUAAGCGAAAAUCACUAGUAAUCGUAGUCACUCCUCUCGUUGACUAGACUUUUGAACGCGCUUUUCUAACUCUUUUCCACUCAACUAAAUUCCGCGAAAUUUUAAAUGCAAGGGAAAGAGAAUAACCAUUUCAUCAAGCUCUCCCACAUAUUUUACCUCUCUUUAGCAGAAUCCCAUGCAAUAAUUUAGUUGAAAACUGAAGAGAGAUGAUGUCGUCUUCGCGAGAUAAUUGGGAGAGGCUGGUGGCGGCGGUGUUGAAGAGAGAUGAGAUACGCCAACUCUGCCACCAAAACUCCAUCUCCACCACGUCAUCCGAUAGUCCGAGAACCUCUACUUCCAGUGGAGAUCUUUCCAGGUGAUUUUGUGUUCAUCUCAAUUUCGGGCGUAAAUUACAGCAUCAGUGACGUUUCUAAUAAAAAAAUUCCUCGACUGCUAUGGAAAUUUGAGAAUAUUUCAGAAUUCUGGGCAACAUAUUGAAGCGUAUACCCGUAUCACCACCGCAUCAACCGCCGCUUACUAGCGCUCCUGGCCUCGAAGGUUCGUCUCCAUUUACAUAUUACAAGUCGUUGGCGGGAUUAGAGUAUAUGAUCUUGCAAUUGCUAUCAUAUAUGUUGUCAUUGUAUAAUUGGGGAAAAUUGAAUUAGAGUCUUUGUGCUUUGCGGAACUGGAUAAAACAAGGAAGACGUUUGGUUUGGCUUAAGCUUUGUUUAAAUUUGUAUAUUUAGUAUAUGAGUUUAGAAAUAAGUUACAGAUGAUGGAGCUUCUGAAAUGUUAAUAAUGAUAAAUUUGUAACUAUUUUAAAGCAAAAGAAACUGUUUUGACAUCUUAGGAACUAUCUUAAACAGCUUGUAGUUUCAUUUAAGAACCGAUCCCUUUUUCACCUCACAACAACAUUUUGGAGUAGUGUCUUUUUUUUUAUACAAGAAUACAACAUAAAUUGCAAUCAUAAACAGAUCAGUGUCCACUUAGAUCAAUACAAUCUGUGAAAAAAUCCCAGAAAAACUUAGGUCAAUCAAUCUACACACAAUAGAAAUCAGAUCUCUGACCUCAACCUCUCAUUGGUUACUUUGAACCGAUACUUAAAAGAGUUUUCUUAAACUGGACCAUAUCUUUUGAUUAAUGUUUAAUUCUUAGCUAAAUGGUAUGGAAUUGCAGCUGGGAAAACUGCUUCUGGACCUAUUACAAGGAAGCUAUUUUCUGCUUCGCUUUGGAGGAGGAAACCGAAGGACUACAAUCUGGGCCAAGGUUUGGUUGGCAUUCCUGGUUAGUUGCAAAAUGGCUUGAAAUAAACUUUGUAUACAUAUUGCAUAUAGCUAUAUGAACAGAGUAACUUAUUUUCUUCAACUGUUGAUGAAGAGGAUCAUUUUGGACUUGAGAGCUUUUCGCUGCGCGAGCUACUUGUUGCGACAGACAAUUUCAGCAACAACAAUUUCCUUGGACGUGAUGGACUUGAUGGACUUGGUAAAGUGUAUAAAGGUCAACUAGCAGAUGGCUCUCUAGUACAAGUUACAAGACUACGACGACAAGAAAUUGAGAUAAAUUUGGAAAUUACAAGCAUUGCUGCACAUUGUAAUGUACUUCGUGCUCGUGGAUUUUGCUUUACGCAAAAAGAGAAGCUGCUCGUUUAUCCUUGCAUGGUUAAUAAAAGUGUGGCGUUCUGGUUAAGAGGUAAUCUCAAUCAAAUAUUCAUAUUCUUUCGUUGGUCUAUUUUUGUUCGAUAACCAUAUUAGGCUUCGUGAAGAACUGAGGGUUGCAGUUUUACAGACUGUUGGAAUAGAUUUGUAGCUUCUUUUAAACCCCUUUUUAAGUCAUCUAGAGGGAAAGUAACCAUAAUUAGUAAUUGAGGGCAAGUUUGUAUAUACAAUUUAGUUGUGAGAAUUUAGAUUUGUUUGUUUGUUUGUUUGUUUUUGGAUAAAUUAACAGUAUUAAAUAAAGAAAUUUAAAGGCCGCGCCACAAGGUACUCGAACCCAAGACCUUUGGCCUUAUGCAUUAACCCCCUUACCACUUGGCCAACACACUCACACACAGUUUUGUUUGUUAUAUUAUGUAAAGUCUUUGUGUUUAUUAUAUUUUGCAAUUGAUUUGGGAUUUUGUUUUGAUACAUCAUAUUUCUAAUAAACCUACUGACUCCAGAAAGACAUGAGGAGCCAUUGCCUCCCCUUGACUGGCCAACAAGGAAACAGAUAUCGCUUGGGGCUGCAAAAGGUCUAGCUUACUUGCAUUAUGAAUGCCCCAGGAAAAUCAUUCAUCGUGAUGUUAAAGCUGCAAAUAUAUUGUUGGAUGAGAACUUUGAAGCAGUUAUUGCUGACUUAACUUUGGGCGAAUUUGUCGAUCGCUGCGAUAGUGAUAUUGUCAUUCCAAUAAUAGGAACAAUUGGUCAUAUAGCUCCUGAGUACCUUGCUACUGGUAAGUGUUCGGUGAAAAUUGAUGUUUAUGGUUAUGGAAUGUUUCUUCUUGAGCUCAUCACAGCACAGAGAGCUUUUGAUCCUGCUCGUCUUGCCAAUGAUGAUGACGUGAUGUUACUAGAUUGGGUGAGUCUUGAUCUUAACUCAUCUACUCUCUUAAAAAUGCAGAUGUAAGGCAUUGCAAAUCAUUUAAAUAGUUGGAAGCUUAAAUACUUUGUGAUAAGAGAUAUUUUGAUCAUUGUAAUAUAAUCUUGUGAUGAUGAGUCUUGGCAAUAUUUGCAUUUGAAAUUUUGAAGUAGCAAUUUCAGAAAUAUAAAGUUCUUGACGCAUUUUUCAGUUCCAUCCAUUAUUAUUUUUAUUAUUUGGUUUCUUGGAAUUUUAUAAUUUUACCUCAGGUAAAUCAAAUUUUCAAGGAGAGAGAAUGGAAAGUGAUUGUCGAUUCAGAACUUCAAGGUGAUUUCGUAGAUGAAGAAGCCGAGGAGUUGUUGCAAAUUGCUCUGAUCUGCACACAAACUGAUCCAGAACAACGUCCGAUGAUGUUGGAAGUUGUGAGGAUGUUAGAAGUUGCAUAUGAGUUGGCUGAGAUGGAGGCAGAGUGGUUCAUGGAUAAUUUCGAAGGAAAUACUUUGGAACGUCAUUAUGUUACGUAGGAUUUUUGCUCUAGGAUAAACUACAGGCAGCAACAGAGGAUUUUAGCGACAAAAUUAUCAGUGAAGAUAGUUUUAAUAUUAUCUAUAAAGGCUUAUUUAGAUGGCUCUCCUGUCGCAGUUUAAAAGAUACAAUUCUCAAAGCCUAGAAUAUUAUUUCGCAAAAGAAUUAGAGAUUGGCACAACUUGUUUCCAUCCAAAUCUAGUCCACGUGAUUGGAUUUUGCCGGACUCCAGAAGAACGACUGCUUGUUUUCCGGUUGAUGGUCAAUGGAAGUGUCGAAUCAUGGUUAAGGGGUAAGCUUGACCAAGUGUUAUUCAAUUUCUCUUCUACAUAUGUAUAGGUAUGAUUUUACUGUGAUCUCUUGAGAUAUAUUGCAUCUUCUAUUUGCUAUAUUGUACCAAAAAGUUCAUUAUCUUUGACCAGAUUUUGGUUUUAGACACGACUUGAAAACGUUUCAAUGAUGACACCACUUUUUUGAUUUGUAGCAAAAUAGUCGACCUUACGUUUCGAUAGUGAGGCCAUUAUUGAAACGUUUAAUGAGUUGUAAUCUAAAACAUAAAAAUUGGGUCAAAGUUGGUGAAUAUUUGGGAAAUUAACCCUUAUUUUAGUAGGUUCUGGUUGGUUAACUUAUUCUUUAUAAAGUUUAUAGGGAUGCAUGAUGCAAGGUAAUUACUUGUGUACGAGAAAUGUCCCGUUUUCUUAAUAUUGUGCAUGAGAACCUCAUUCUCCUUUCUGCAAGUUGCAACUCUUGCUUUAGCUUGCCUGAUAAUGUAUAUUUAGCACAAUCAUAAUAUCCUCUCUCACGCAGCACAUCAAUGUUUCCCACUUUCCUAAGAUUAGGAAAUUAACAUUGCAUGUUGACAUAUUUUGCAGAGAGCAGAUCGGUUUAGUGGAUUUAUUGUUUUCAAUUUUUCUGUUGCAUAGACAUAAGUUUCUGAAUUUACUAUAUG